rnacentral:rRNA from 1 species
UACGUAGGGUGCGAGCGUUAAUCGGAAUUACUGGGCGUAAAGCGUGCGCAGGCGGUGCGGUAAGUCACCUGUGAAAUCUCCUGGCUCAACUGGGAGCUUGCAGGCGAAACUGCCGUGCUGGAGUGUGGGAGAGGUGCGUGGAAUUCCUGGUGUAGCGGUGAAAUGCGUAGAUAUCAGGAGGAACACCAAUUGCGAAGGCAGCUCGCUGGGACGUUACUGACGCUGAGACGCGAAAGCGUGGGGAGCAAACCGG